GUCUGGAACUGCAGGGCAGAUGAGUUUUCCAGAAGGGAUAGAAGGCUGCCAUUGAUUUUAUUAUUGAGUCAGUUUUAAUGAGUCACAGUAUUUUUGGAAGGCUUUUAAGAUUACUGUAAAGUGCUUAGUUACAGUGGCUACAGGUGCCAAGGCAGGAAAGGCAACAACAAAAAAAUACACAGCAGCUGUAUUGCUACACUUCUGAGAACUGGGAUCAGCAGAACGAUACACAUGGAAAAUGCAAAAGAAAAUAGGAGAAAAUGUAAGAGAUGAGAGAAGUCAGCAUGGUCAGCUGCUAUGCUACAGCAAAAUGCAUUUUAUUUAGGGGACUGUCCAAUGCCCUUUAGCCACAAGUUGGAAAGGGCCUCUGACAGACUGUGGAUUGCCAAGACAUUCAGUGAAUUGCAUGUUUGCCUUUCAAGCUGUCCUUUGGUUGCAAGUCAUUUGCUCCCAUAGCUGCCAAGCUCUACCACUGCCAUCCUGUGUUGAAUGAAACUGGAAACAUCUCAUUUAGCAGAUGAGAGAAGAGAAGGUAGAGAAGGGAGAAAGAGGUGGCAUGAAGAGAAAAAAAAAGUGCAUUUUUUGUUGUAACUGGAACAAAUUUCCUUUUUCUUUUUGCCUGUGCCCUUCUGAAAUACAUAGGGCAUAGCAUUCAAAGAGCUCACAGACAUACUCUAUCUUAUAAGGCAAGAAAAUAUUCAAUGUUUUGUACUAAAAAGAAUGUACUAAGAAGUACAUUCUGAAGAUGUGGGGAUGCAAAUCAAACAACCUCAAAAAUACAGGGCUAGAGAAAACAUUUACAGUUAUCAUACAAUGUGCUUGCUAGAUUUUCAGAUACUUCCCGUGAUAAUUGGACUCAGAGUUAAGUAGAAACAGCAACCAUGAUUUCAGUGAGCCAGCUCUGAGUAGGAUCCACUGAACAUGCACACAUCUGCCUCUGCCUUGGCAUAGCAAGUGGCUGCAUGCACAGCUGGAUACUUGCAUAUGCAAAUACUGGUUUGUAUGUACAGAUAGCUGCAUGCAGGCCAGAAAUCAGUUCUGACUUGGAGGCCCAUUUCAGCCUCCUCCUGCUGCCCCCACCCCCUUCACCAGAUGGGCACACGCAGAAUAUUCUCCAGGCUGCAACAACAGCAUCAUGAAGGGUCACCACCGACUUCACAGCAUCUUCCAGCAUCCUCACCAACCACAUUGCUUGCCCUGGAGAUGCCACAUAGCAACCUGGGCACCAGACACCCUGUGUCUGCAAACAGGCAUGCACGAGAAAGGCAGUGAGAGCAAAAGAAACUACUUAUUGUCUCUGGUGGGGUAGAGUCGCAGCAGAUCCAGUCCUGUGUCUGCUUUUCAUGCGUGACUGGCAUGAGUCCCACCGCUAAGUCCUUGGCUGACGGCCAUGUGCAGAGUGGCAGGCACCUGUCCCUGCUGGGAGACCUGGCGACCCCGACCUGCCCUAAUGCUCCUUCAGGUGAUCUGUGUCAAUGGGAACUGGUGAAUCUCUGAAAGAAAUCUGUCUGAGCACAGCCAACACCAGAAUAGAAGGCAGCAGGUGACAAGGGGGGAAAUAAGAUGCUGCUGUCCUUGAGCCAGUGCUGGUCUGGAGUAGUUGUCUCUGAACAGUGAGGCAGCAGAAAGAAGGGUAAGUCGUUAAAGGAAAGAAAAAGACCUUUUCCCACUAGUUUUGACUUUGUCAAGGACACCAGGAGAUUCCUGUUUUGUUAUAAACUGAAAAUAGAAAAAACACCUAACAGUCAGCCUUUUCAUAGAAAAGAGCCAUACCUUCAUCAGAGCUGUGACCGGUUCAGGCAGUGGCUCCUAUAUCAUCACAUCUCUGCCUAGCCUGUAGGUCACUCUCCUCCUUCUCUUGCCACUCUGGAAUGUACUGGUUUGAAAAACGUGAAAACCCCAUGCCUCUCUCACCAGCUGAAAGCAUAUUUCCUUUCUCAGGAGCACACGUCCAUCCGAGCUCAAAGAUGCAGGUUUAUUUCAGCUGUGGCAUUUGCAGCCCUGUCUGCACAACCUAACUUUUCUGCACCCGUAAUAGCCACUCAAA